GUGAAAGUAUUAACUUUUCGCAAUAAAUGCCACUCAAGUAAAACUCAAAUUCUCAAGAACUGUGAGUAUAAGUACAAUAAAUUUACUUUGUUACUGCCCACCUCUGCACGAAGGUGUUGAUACUUUUGGAAGGCAGUGUGUGAUGGACGCCUGAGCAAAGCAUACAGGCCAAGAAUGUCUGCACAGGUCACAGGGCAGCUGCAAAUAUUUAGCAGCGCUCGUGCUUUUCACUGAAAGCUGUCAGUCCCAUCAUCUUAACCUGAAGACAGGACACGUUUUAAAAUUAUUACACACUUUCAAUCAGCAACAAAAUGCUUCCUUCGUCAUUUCAGACAAUGGCUUUACCUUAAAGAAACGUUUUUCAUGACCAUUAAUUUUUUUAAGUGCCCUGCUAUAUGAAGUAGGAGAAGCCAAAAUACUUUCCGCUGCCAACAAAACAUCUGUUUGGCUCUCUGCUUCCUCUCACGGCUCAGAUGCUGGCAGGCCAGAGGAAUGUUUGAAGCCCCUCGUCUUUUCUCUCUGAAGCAGGGAGGGUGGUGGCCGGAUUAAGGACGUGUGUGUGUUUAUGCGCGACACCACGAGCUCCCACAGCCCAGACGUGUCCUACGGGCUCCGAAAACGGCUCGUCUGAGCAGGAAGUUUCAUAUCCUCCCCUAUCGCAGGACCUCUGCUUCCUCUCUGCGUCUGGAUGGGUUUCAGGAGUCUUUAUAAUUACUACUGUUACAAGUGAGGAGAGCAUGUGAAAGGGGAGAGCAGCCGGUGGGUUUUCUUUUUUCUUUUCUUUUCCUGUUCCUGCUUCUCUUCACAUGUUUGACGCCAUGGAGCCGUCAUGUUUUUCACGCACACUCCCAGAGACAAUGCCACCCCGCACUCCUGCGUUUCUGAGGGGGCGACCCCACUGCCUCUCACUGGCAAGCGUCUUUUUCUUGUCGCCGUGUGUGUGUGUGUGUGUGUGUGUGUGUGUGUGUCUGUCUCUGACGACUCCAAAAUGGACUCAAGCAGCGCUUUUAAAAUCAACUCUGCUUAGAUGUCACAUAUUUUGUGACGCGCACCAAAACGCCCCCACAAGAUGAUGCUGCCAUUCCUGUUCUUCAGAGUUGUGAUGAUGUUCUUAGGCUUGAAAUCUUACCGCCGUUUCCUCUAAAUGUGACGAUAAUAACGUGUUUGAUCCAUCAGAUUAUAGGCCACGUUUUGUUGAUUUGUCCCAGGAUUCAUUUGCGAUCUGUAAUCUGGGUUUUGACCUUCCUCUUGGAGUGAUGACCUCUCCCUCGACCUUUCCGGCCUCGUUUUGCUGUGGAUCAUAAGCGUCUCCUGGCUUCAUCCAGCUUCUUUACACUGAAAUAUCUUCAUCACACAGAGUCCGUCCAAUAACAAAUCAGGUUUUUCGAAAUCCACAAAUCUCUUGUUGAUUUUUUGGAUCAUUUCUUUAGAUUUUUUUCCAUCAUGUCACAGUGUGGCUAAAAUCCAUCCUCACGCGUUUCUCCAAUUAACUGAAAUGCUGUUAAUUAUUCUUUUUAAUUAACAUUUUUCACAGCAGGUUUAAAACACAUGGUAAACUUCUGAAAAUAAAGAAAGUAAUAAAAACUCUGUGAUAUUUUGCAAAUAGAAACAACUUUGGUGCUCCAAACUUGAACUAAAGUUUAGCUUAACUUUAGCGCAGGUUUCCCUACAAGUUUAAGCUAAAGGAAGUUUAUUUUAUUUUAAAUACAUAUGAUUGAUAUCUUACCUGCUGUUUAAGUCUGUGAAUGCACCUGAAAUCGCUCAGUUUGGCUGUGAUAUCUGAAUGACAGUGAAAGCGUCACAUAUUAAAAAACCGGGCUGUUAAAAAAUGUUAUUAAAGCUCAGUAAGACAAAAUCUGAAUCCUCCUAUGAAGGGUUAAUGAAGGAGAGAAAUACGGCAGAUUCAUUUCCAUGCAUCAGCAAUGAAAACUGACCUCCUUGCUCUGAUUACUGAGGCUUUGACGUGUUUCCUGUGUACUUUACAGUUCUUCAAAAGUCAAGUCAAGGGAGUGUUAAAAGAAAAUUUUUGCAUAGUUUCACUCUUGGGAUCAGUAGACAGAGAGGAAGUAAUUUAUAAAGAAACGUCCUGCUCUUUCACAGACAAAUAAACACAGAGGAAGGUU